rnacentral:rRNA from 1 species
CGCGUAGGCGGUCAGCACAAGUCAGUUGUGAAAUCUCCGGGCUUAACUCGGAAAGGUCAACUGAUACUGUGCGACUAGAGUGCAGAAGGGGCAACUGGAAUUCUCGGUGUAGCGGUGAAAUGCGUAGAUAUCGAGAGGAACACCUGCGGCGAAGGCGGGUUGCUGGGCUGACACUGACGCUGAGGCGCAAGCCAGGGGAGCGAACG